AUUCCAGCUCUAAUAGCGUAUAUUAAUGUUGUUGCAGUUAAAAAGCUCGUAGUUGGAUUUUGGUGUUUGACAAAUGGUCUGCCUUCGGGUUUGCACUGUUUGUUGGCACUUCUUUUCUGGGGAACUCACUGCUCUUAAUUGAGGGGUGCUGUAACGCAGAUCGUUUACUUUGAAAAAAUUAGAGUGUUCAAAGCAGGCCAACGCAUUGAAUACAUUAGCAUGGAAUAAUGGAAUAGGACUUUGGUCUUAUUUUGUUGGUUUCGAACACCGGAGUAAUGAUUAACAGGGACAGUCAGGGGCACUCGUAUUCCGCCGAGAGAGGUGAAAUUCUUAGACCAGCGGAAGACGAACCACUGCGAAAGCAUUUGCCAGGGAUGUUUUCAUUA
rnacentral:rRNA from 1 species